rnacentral:rRNA from 1 species
GAUGAACGCUGGCGGCGUGCUUAACACAUGCAAGUCGAACGGAAAGGCCAGUGCUUGCACUGGUACUCGAGUGGCGAACGGGUGAGUAACACGUGGGUGAUCUGCCCUGCACUUCGGGAUAAGCAUGGGAAACUGGGUCUAAUACCGGAUAGGAGAAUGGUUUGGAUGCCGUUGUGGAAAGAGUUUUGGGGGUGGGGUGUGCUCGCGGCCUAUCAGCUUGUGUGUGGGGGAAUGGCCUAUACAGGCGCCGAGGGGUAGAGCGCGCGUGAGGGGGUACGGCCACAUUUUGGGCGUGAGACGGCCCCGACUCCCACGCGGGGGAGCAGUGGGGGAUAUUGCACAAUAUGCGCGAGACUCAGGCAGCGACGCCGCGUGUGGGAUGACGGCCUUCGCGUUUUAAACUCCUUUCGCUAGUGACACAGCGUGUUUGUGACGGUACCUGGUGAAGAAGCACCGGCUAACUACGUG